rnacentral:lncRNA from 1 species
CUGUUCUGGUGAAAUGGAGUCUCCUCCUUGCUACAGAUUAAAGGAACUGGAAAUGCUGACGUUUGGGGG